rnacentral:lncRNA from 1 species
ACAUCUAUUUUUGGGGUCCUGAUGUGAGGUUCAGACUUAACUAGAGAAGUCCCGGCCAAGAUACUGUCCCAUCCAUCGCUGUCAAAUCAUUGUCUCCAAUCUCUCCUGCAAGAUGGUCUGACAAGUUCUCAGAAUCAUGUGAGAUCGCUUUCCCCAAACCACGUUCCUCCUCUGCCUGGCACCAGACUUCAGUCUUCCUUCUUUGUUCGUAUCAGGAAGAUCACACAGCCACAAGGAGGGCUGGAUCAAGAGAGAGGCUGUUUGUGUUCUGUGCAGCGCUGGGGACAUCAGGGAGGCUACGCACGAUGCUUGGAGCCCGGUGAACCCUUGAUGGCAGGUAUAGAGAGACAUGGCUGGCACCACGCUGCUUCAUGCUGAACUUUGGUUUGCUCUGGUCUGAUCAUUCCUCACUAUGUCCCCAUUCCUCCUUGUGAAGAGGAAUAUUCAUUAUGUGCUAUUGUGUACUAAAAGCUUGUAACUUUUAUUAUUAUUAUUAUUAUUAUUAUUAUUACAUAGGAGAAACUCUAGACUUUUGAAAAGUGUUGGGACUCUUACAGACUAUAGGGACGUUUAGUGACAGGUGGAAUUCAUCUUAUAAAAUGGCUUUGCGAUUAUAGGGACAAAAGAUGGGAAGUUUUGGCUUACAAGUAAUGCAUCUGGGUGUCAUAGUGUCAAGGGCUGGACUUGUAAUGGCUGACACUGAACUUGACGAGGUCUAGAAUCCCUUAGGGGCGAAUCUCUGAACAUGUUCAUAAGAGAGUUUUUAGAUUGGAUUAACUGGGGUGGUUUGAAUGAAAAAUAUCCCCCCCUAGGACUAGGUGUUAGAAUACUCGGUCUCCAGUUGCAGGUGCUGUUUGCAGUGGAUUAGGAGGUGUGGCCUUGGUAGAGGAAAUAUGUCACGGCUGGGGAUGAGACAGGCUUUGAUGUUUAAAAGCCACUCUCCCUUCCCAGUUCUCUCCUUACCCCCUUCUGAUUGCAGUGAGGUGAGUCCUUGGUUCUCAGCUUUCAACUCUGGCUGCCAAGACUGCUGCCUGCUGCCAUACUGUCUCCACCAUUAUGGACCCUAAACCUCUGGAACCAUAAGCCUCAAUAAAUCCUUCCUUCUAAAAGUU